GAUGAACGCUGGCGGCGUGCCUAAUACAUGCAAGUCGAGCGAACAGAUGAGGAGCUUGCUCCUCUGACGUUAGCGGCGGACGGGUGAGUAACACGUGGAUAACCUACCUAUAAGACUGGGAUAACUUCGGGAAACCGGAGCUAAUACCGGAUAAUAUAUUGAACCGCAUGGUUCAAUAGUGAAAGACGGUUUUGCUGUCACUUAUAGAUGGAUCCGCGCCGCAUUAGCUAGUUGGUAAGGUAACGGCUUACCAAGGCAACGAUGCGUAGCCGACCUGAGAGGGGGAUCGGCCCAACGGGAAAGGGGACACGGCCCAGACCCCUACGGGAGGCAGCAGUAGGGAAUUUUCCGCAAGGGGGGAAAGCCGAACGGAGAAACGCCGGGGGGGUGAUGAAGGGCUUGGGAUCGUAAAACUUUUUUAUUAGGGAAAAAAAAAUGUGUAAGUAACUAUGCACGUUUUGACGGUACCAAAUAAGAAAGCCACGGCUAACUACGU
rnacentral:rRNA from 1 species